rnacentral:rRNA from 1 species
UACGUAGGGUGCGAGCGUUUGUCCGGAAUUAUUGGGCGUAAAGGGCUCGUAGGCGGUUUGUCGCGUCGGGAGUGAAAUCCACUGGCUUAACUGGUGGCUUGCUUUCGAUACGGGCAGACUGGAGGUAUGCAGGGGAGAACGGAAUUCCUGGUGUAGCGGUGAAAUGCGCAGAUAUCAGGAGGAACACCGAUGGCGAAGGCAGAUCUCUGGGCCGUAACUGACGCUGAGGAGCGAAAGCAUGGGGAGCGAACAGG